CCUUGGCACAAGAAAGUUUCCAAGCUAGAGGGGUGGAAUUGGGGCUACAGCCCCCACCCUACACCACAGCCACAGCAAUUCGGGAUCCAAGCCACGUGUGCAACCUCAAUGCAGUUACAGCAAUGCCGGAUUCUUAAUCCACUGAGCAGGGCCAGGGAUCGAACCUGAGUCCUCAUGGAUACUCGUCUGGUUCAUUAAUGCUGAGCCACAAUGGGAACUCCUUAAUUAUUUUUAAAAGAGAGUUCACCUGGGUUAAGAAUCCAACUGGAAUUCUCAUCGUGGCACAGCAGAAAUGAAUCCGAGUAGGGACCAUGAGGUUGCGGGUUUGAUCCCUGGCCUCACAAAGUGGGUUAAGGAUCCGGCAUUGCUGUGAGCUGUGGUGUAGGUCGCAGACGAGGCUCGGAUCCUGAGUUGCUGUGGCUCUGGCGUAGACUGGCAGCUACAGCUCUGAUUAGACCCCUAGCCUGGGAACCUCCAUAUGCUACAAAAAAAAAAAAAAAAAAAAAAAAAAGAAUCCAACUGCAGCAGCUCAGGUCACUUUGCAGGUGCACAUUCAAUUCCCAGCCCAGUGCAGUGGGUUAAAGGAUCCAGCAUUGCUGCUGCUGCAGCUCAGAUUCAGUUCCUGGCCUAGCAACUUCCAUAUGCCAAGGUGCAACCAUAAAAAGAAAAAAUAAAUUAAAAAAGGCAAAACUAAUCUACAGUGACAGAAGUCAAAACAAUAGUUACCUCCAAGGGGUAGUAUCACCUGGGAGAGGGCAGGAGGGAGCCUACUAGGGUGCUAGAAAUGGUUCUUUAUCUUGACUUUGCAUGGUGGUUACUUGGGUACAUACCUAAAAUUUCUUCAAGCUAUGCAGUGAGAUUUGGGCACUCUACUGUAUAUAAGUAAUAAAAUGAGGCAUUCCAAGAUCUAGGAAGCAACAUUUUCAGAGGCACAGGGACAGAAACUUCCAGGGCCUGCCAUGCUAAAAAGACUGACGUCAAACCGUAGGGUUUGGGUACCUUCCACUGAAAGGCACCUGAGUAAUAUGACCAGAUGUGUAUUUCAAAAGACAAUUCUGGUGGAAAAAUAAAUACUGGAUUAGAAGGAUGUGAGACUAAUAGUCCAGGAGACAGAUAAAGGCCUUUUCUAAGGCAAUGACUUUAAAGGUGGAGAAGAAACAGGAUAAUAAGGCAGCACCAGCACCAAAGGGACACUGUGACUGAUUAAAUGUGAACAGAGGGGAAAAAAGGAAGAGUCUCAAUUGAUGACUAGGUCUCUGGCAUGGGCCUGUGGGUGAAUCACAGAGACAUGCACUCUAUAAGCAGAUCAGAUCUGUAGAAAAAUAAGCUGCAUUUAGUUUUGGACUCUACUGAAAUAAUAUAAGAAAUAUGUUCCACUCAAAAUGGAACAUUUUUUCUAUGAGAUGUUAAUCACUGCCAAGUGUUCAUUCAGCUGAUGUCUGAUUUCGUUAUUAUUUAAAUAUAUUUGCUUGGCAAUCUUCUGUCAACUUCAAUUUGAAUCUCUACGGUACCAGUGAUGUGACAAUAUAAAAUGUUUCCAUCACUAGGUAAUUGCUCCUUACUUAUACCUCUAAGCCUAUAAAGAAUAAGCAAUUUGUUCUUCCAUAAUCAGCUGUAAAGAGGUAUUCUCAAAUCAGUAUCUCUGACAAAAGGAAUAACUUCCAAUCUAUAAAAUUCUAUACAGUGAAAGAUUUCAUUUAUAGAUGAUUAUAUAGAGAAUCUCUAAACCAAAUUUAUUAAAUAACUGUUCUAAACCUACCACAGCUGCUCACCAGCAGAUUUCAAAACCAACUUGAAACCAGAGCCAAAAAUAACAUAAUGUGCCUAAUACAAUGGGCCAUUUUUCAAAAGCAAAAUAUGUAUUUAAAUACAUAUAUACUACAGAUGUGAAAAUAUGAGUUUUAAGCCUCUGGGCAUACACUCAUGAGCACACAUAUAAAUUCUGAACCUAGUUUCCUCUACAAAUUCAAUCUGUUUUUCAGAAAAGAUUGCUUUGAUACAAAGCAAAUACGUUUUAAGUGGUUAAUACAUGACAGGCACUGUGCAAGUGCUAAGGAUAAAGCUGUAAGACACACAGUCUCCGCCCUCAUAGAGUUUUAUUGUCUAAUGCCACCUGAUCAUAAAAACUGCAUUUUAAGGCACUGCCUUCCUCCUACCCGAGUCUCUGACUGAUCACUGCAAUGAAUCUCCCCUGAGCCUUAAAUCAAGACCCACGUGACUGGAGAUCAAGUGUAAAGAUUAUUAAAAAGGAACUUCAAGACAAUUGGCACAGUGGGUUAAGAAUCCAGGUGCAGCAGCUCAAGCUGCUACAGAGGUAUGGGUUCAAUCCCUGGCACAGUGGGUUAAAGGAUACAGAGUUGCCAGAGCUGCAGCAUGCUCAAGGCUCAGAUUCAAUCCCUGGCCCACGAACUUCCAUAUGCUGUGGGUGACACCAUUUAAAAACAAAAAAUUAGUUGGUAAAAACAGGCUCUUGAAAUUCCUAUAGUGGCUCGGCAGUAACAAAGCAGACUAGGAUCCAUGAGGAUGCAGGUUCGAUCCCUGGCCUCGCUCAUGGGGUUAAGGAUCUGGUGUUGCCAUGAGCUGUGGUACAGGCCGGCAGCUGUAGCUCUGAUGUGACCCCUAGCCUGGGAGUAAAAGAAAACAGGACCCAACACAGGACAGGGAAGGAAACCUCCAGGAUAAUGGUGAAGGAAGAUCCCAGAAUGGCAGCUAUGCUUUAAGUACAAGGGCAAAAAGUCAGACCAGAACAGGCAAGAAGGCUCUAGGAAAAGUUUUUUCUAAUAUGAUGAACUCAAAACCUAAGCAAAAUAAAAAACAAUUUUUUUUUUUUUUUUGUCUUUUUGCCUUUUUCUUGAGCCACUCCCGCGGCAUAUGGAGGUUCCCAGGCUAGGGGUCUAAUCAGAGCUAUAGCCACCAGCCUACGCCACAACCACAACAACACGGGAUCUGAGCCACGUCUGCAACCUACACCACAGCUCACAGCAACGCCGGAUCCUUAACCCACUGAGCAAGGCCAGAGGAUGGAACCCACAACCUCAUGGUUCCUAGUCAGAUUCGUUAACCACUGCACCACAACAGGAACUCCUAAAAAACAAUUUUUAAAGGAAAUACUUAAAAGGAAAUCAAAGGUACAGGAAAGGAAAAGUAAUAAUAGCGUAUUAAAUAGCUCAGCAGUUAAUGAACCUGACUAGCAUCCAUGAGGACACAGGUUCGAUCCCUGGCCUUGCUCAGUGGGUUAAGGAUCCUGUAAGCUGUGCUGUAGGUUGCAGAUGUGGAUGGGAUCCCAUGUUGCUGUGGCGUAGGCCAGCUGUGUAGCUCCAAUUCAAUCCCUAGCCUGAGAACCUCCAUAUGCUUCGAGUACGGCCCUAAAAAGACAAAAAAAAAAAAAAA
rnacentral:lncRNA from 1 species